AACAGUUCUCGAGCUUCCCAAGAAGAUUAAGAUUGAACUGUUCAUCAAACCCAAGGAAUGGAGGAAGAGGUCUCGAGCUUCCCAAGAAGAUUAAGAUUGAACUGUUCAUCGAACCCUUGGAAUGGAGGAAGAGAUCUCGAGUUUCCCAAGAAGAUUAAGAUUGAACUGUUCAUCAA